rnacentral:rRNA from 1 species
UACGUAGGGGGCAAGCGUUGUCCGGAUUUAUUGGGCGUAAAGAGCGUGUAGGCGGCCAAAUAGGUCGGUUGUGAAAACUGGAGGCUUAACCUCCAGACGUCGACCGAAACCAUCUGGCUAGAGUCCGGAAGAGGAGAGUGGAAUUCCUGGUGUAGCGGCGAAAUGCGCAGAUAUCAGGAAGAACACCCGUGGCGAAGGCGGCUCUCUGGGACGGUACUGACGCUGAGACGCGAAAGCGUGGGGAGCGAACAGG